rnacentral:rRNA from 1 species
AGCGAACGCUGGCGGCAGGCUUAACACAUGCAAGUCGAACGGGCACUUCGGUGUCAGUGGCAGACGGGUGAGUAACGCGUGGGAACAUACCUCUUGGUUCGGAACAACACAGGGAAACUUGUGCUAAUACCGGAUAAGCCCUUACGGGGAAGAUUUAUCGCCGAGAGAUUGGCCCGCGUCUGAUUAGCUAGUUGGUGUGGUAAAAGCGCACCAAGGCGACGAUCAGUAGCUGGCUGAGAGGAUGAUCAGCCACAUUGGGACUGAGACACGGCCCAAACUCCUACGGGAGGCAGCAGUGGGGAAUAUUGGACAAUGGGCGCAAGCCUGAUCCAGCCAUGCCGCGUGAGUGAUGAAGGCCCUAGGGUUGUAAA